AUUCCAGCUCCAAUAGCGUAUAUUAAAGUUGUUGCGGUUAAAAAGCUCGUAGUUGGAUUUCUGUCGAUGACUGGUGGUCCUCUCUAUGAGAGUGUAUCUACUUAGGCGUUGGCAUCCUCAUGAGAGACGUUUCUGUGCUUGAUUGCAUGGUGCGGAUUUCAUGACUUUUACUUUGAGGAAAUUAGAGUGUUCACGGCAGGCACGCGCCUUGAAUACAUUAGCAUGGAAUAAUAAUAUAGGAUCGAGAUUCUAUUUUGUUGGUUUCUAGAAUCACGAUAAUGAUUAAUAGGGGUAAUUGGGGGCAUUUGUAUUAACGCGUCAGAGGUGGAAUUCUUGGAUUGCGUUACGACAAACUACUGCGAAAGCAUUUGCCAAGGAUGUUUUCAUUG
rnacentral:rRNA from 1 species